rnacentral:lncRNA from 1 species
UCCAUCUCUUUCGUUCCAUCUUCCUCCCUAGUCUCUGUCCAUCUCUUUCACUUGCCCCUGCGCCUAAAGGAAUGGUUCGUUUCAUCAAUUCCCCGACACCAGGCUAAGAUGAGUUCAUUCCACUCAAAUACCUUUGAAUAGCGUUGGAGAUAUCAAAGCGAAAAUGGAAAGAAUAGAGUGAGGAAUGAUGAGCUAUUAAGCUAGAUUGAUGAGCUAUUAGGCUAACCAUACCUAAGGAUAACCCGCAAAAUAUCGUAGAUAGAAGGAAAGGAGAGAUAGCCUCUCUCAACCUAUUAACUUACUUCUUUUAUCCUACCAGCGUUUUUUCAUUUUCUCUUAGAGAGUCCUUCUGAACUCGUCAUGAAUUGGUUUCGAACCAAUGCCUCUACAGAUUCAACAAUGACAGUAUCCCUUCUUCUUCCCUCGACUCAAUCAUUUCCUAGAUAAUCAACAGGGCUGCUUCAUGGCGAUGGAGUGACUGAU